GGCGAAAUCAGGAAGGGGGGAAGCCAUAGUUAGGAUUUUCAAGCUUCCAAGCUCCAUAAUCAAGAAGUACGAAACUCGAGGUUAGACAAAGGGAAGAAUAAAGUUGAAGACUAAGUUGGUGAAUUUGGCUAUAAUUGGUACCGAGUAUUGCAAAGCUACUUCAAGGAUCCUAAAGAAGUCGGAGAUCGUCCACACUAUCAACCACAACUGCUCGGUAUUUUAUAUCGAAUCACGUUUGAGUUAUGGCAUGUAUAGGGAUUUAGUUAUUUUGUAUGUUUGUGAUUAUGAUUUUGCUAAAGAAUGGUGUGUAAGUAUUUGAUGAUGUAUGGUUAUUAAAAUGGUUAAGUA